CAGCCGCCGCGGGAAUACGUAGGGUGCAAGCGUUAAUCGGAAUUACUGGGCGUAAAGCGUGCGUAGGCGGUUUGUUAAGUCUGCUGUGAAAUCCCCGGGCUCAACCUGGGAAUGGCAGUGGAUACUGGCAAGCUAGAGUGUGUCAGAGGAUGGUGGAAUUCCCGGUGUAGCGGUGAAAUGCGUAGAGAUCGGGAGGAACAUCAGUGGCGAAGGCGGCCAUCUGGGACAACACUGACGCUGAGGCACGAAAGCGUGGGGAGCAAACAGGAUUAGAUACCCGCGUAGUCCCUGUCUCUUAUAC
rnacentral:rRNA from 1 species